AUGGUGCUCCAGGAAGAGAUGGUGAAAAGGGUGAAAAAGGUGACGCUGGUCCCCCUGGUCCUCCUGGAAGUGUCAUUUCAAGACCAGACAUUGAUGCAGCAGUGGGACCAAAAGGUAGCAAAGGAUUGCCAGGACUUCCAGGAGCCAAAGGGGAGCGUGGAUUCUCUGGUAGGCCGGGCCCRCCUGGCUUGCCAGGUUCUCCAGGGAUCACGACUGUUGGGCCUCCUGGCCCACCUGGCUUACCUGGCGAGAGAGGACAGAAGGGAGAUCCAGGUUUACCUGGUGUUUCCAUUCCUGGACAGCCAGGACUUGAUGGACCCCGGGGAUCCCCAGGACCACCAGGUCCCCCAGGACCACCUGCGCCAUCAGUUCCUCCUGGUGAAGGGUUAUGUGAGCAGGGACCRCCAGGUCCUCCUGGAAUUCCAGGACAGCAAGGCUUUACGGGGGAGCGAGGCCAAAAAGGUGAUCAAGGAGACACAUGCUUCAAUUGCAUAGGAACUGGAAUAUCUGGGCCUCCUGGGGAGAGAGGACCUCCAGGACCUCCAGGUAGUCCAGGUAAAGCUGUAAUCAUCACUAUUUUGCUUAAAAUAUUUUAUAAAGACAUUUCAUAUCUGAGUGGG
rnacentral:lncRNA from 1 species